UACGAAGGGGGCUAGCGUUGCUCGGAAUCACUGGGCGUAAAGCGCACGUAGGCGGCUUUUUAAGUCAGGGGUGAAAUCCUGGAGCUCAACUCCAGAACUGCCUUUGAUACUGAGAAGCUUGAGUCCGGAAGAGGUGAGUGGAACUCCGAGUGUAGAGGUGAAAUUCGUAGAUAUUCGGAAGAACACCAGUGGCGAAGGCGGCUCACUGGACCGAUACUGACGCUGAGACGCGAAAGCGUGGGGAGCAAACAGG
rnacentral:rRNA from 1 species